rnacentral:rRNA from 1 species
GACGAACGCUGGCGGCGUGCUUAACACAUGCAAGUCGAACGGUGAAGCGCCUUCCUUUUUGGUGGGUGUGGAUGAGUGGCGAACGGGUGAGUAACACGUGAGUAACCUGCCCCCUUCUUCUGGAUAACCGCAUGAAAGUGUGGCUAAUACGGGAUAUUCUGGGUCUGUCGCAUGAUGGGUCUGGGAAAGAUAUUGUUUCGGUGGGGGAUGGGCUCGCGGCCUAUCAGCUUGUUGGUGGGGUGAUGGCCUACCAAGGCGGUGACGGGUAGCUGGCCUGAGAGGGUGGACGGUCACACUGGGACUGAGACACGGCCCAGACUCCUACGGGAGGCAGCAGUGGGGAAUAUUGCACAAUGGGCGCAAGCCUGAUGCAGCGACGCCGCGUGAGGGAUGGAGGCCUGCGGGUUGUGAACCUCUUUCGCCAGUGAAGCAGGCCUGCCUCGUUUGUGGGUGGGUUGACGGUAGCUGGAGAAGAAGCGCCGGCUAACUACGUG